rnacentral:misc_RNA from 1 species
GCAGUGGUUUGGUUGCGAUGUCUUUCCUAUCUGUUGCCCGAGCAAUUUCUAUGGGUGGAACUUUCUUUAUCUUUUCAGCAAUUUCCGCACUUUCUGUUGUCUUUGUUCAUACACUUGUCCCAGAGACAAAAGGAAAGUCGUUAGAACAGAUUGAGCAGAUGUUUCAGAAUGAAGACCAAUGGCAAGGGGGUGAAGUGGAGCUGGGAGAUGUUGAGCAUCUUGUGGAGAAAGAGUGACUCGUCCUUGAUUGGAAAGGCUAAUUAAACAAGCCUUAGCUAUCCAACUUUUGCCAGUCAGAAACUAUUAUGGUUGUUGAGGCACUAUUUGCCAAUUACCUAGAUUCUCACUGGUAUUGAAUCAGCACCUGUUAGAGUUUGCAGCCUCAAGUAUCUAUGAGUUCGCAGCAAUGGAAGCAUGUUUAACAUAAAUUAAAA